CCAUACCGAACACGGAAGUUAAGCUCUUCAGCGCCGAUGGUAGUCGGGGGUUUCCCCCAGUGAGAGUAGGACGCCGCCAAGC
rnacentral:rRNA from 1 species